rnacentral:rRNA from 1 species
AUGGCGGGCGGGGAGGCGGAGUACGUGUACCUGCCUAUCGCCGACGCCCUCAAGACCCCCGGCUUCCGGGUCUGCCUCUUCGCCGCCGUCAUCGAGAUCGGCGCCGCCUUCCGCAGCCGCGNNNNNNAUUUCACUCUUACAUUGAGGAUAGCUGAUCAAUCACGUACAUCUGGUAUCUCCGUGACUUUCUUUGCUAACAACACUGCACUACUGCCAUGUGUUAGGUCAAGCGGCGAUAUCAUCAGUCUCCAUAAUGUUGUGAUAAAAGUGCUUCAUGGAGAAUUCUUUGUAACUAUUGAGAAAAGGUUUUCUUCGUUUGCACUAUUUGGAGGGAUGGUAUCUACAGAGUUCAGGCCUUACCAGAUUUCUAUGAAACAUCAAGGAACCAAACAUGACAACCAAAUUUUAACCCAGAUGAGAAUGUGGCUUGUGUAUCAUCCUCCAGGUUUGAAAGAUCUUGAAUUGCAGCUACGGAAUAUAAAGUCUGAUUCUACUUUUGAUCUUGUAUGCAAGGUACUUCAUGUCUGUGAAGGUCCCAGUGGCGAAUGGAUUUUUUAUGUUUGGGAUGGAACUGAUACUCCUGCAACUGAGCUUCAGACACUUUUGGACACGGAAGCAGUUACACCAACCCCUCUGCAUCCUGAAGAAGCGCCGCUACCCAGGGAGGUUCUAUGCACACUGCCUUGUGUUGGAACUGUCCUGAGGGUAUUCUCAAACAGAUUUUCCAAGGAAAUACUACACUUGCAAAAGGAUAUUUACUGGGCCCGGUUCUGCAAUAUUACUUGCAAACAGGAGUUUGGCAUGUGGAAAGGCUCUUUGCUGCCUUCUAGUAGAAUCCGUCUUUUAUCUAGUGAAGAUGGCAGUGUCAUUGAACGUUUGAAGACAUUCGAUGGUCGUUUUGCCACCCAAGUUCAUCGAGAGCCAAUGGCUAGCCUCCACACGGCCUCUGAUAUUACUGAUGUGGAGUUCAAGAGAGCAGGUUACACGACAUUAAUGGAGUCGCUCACCCAUGGACAGGUGACGCACAAAUUCAAAACCCUGGUCCGUGUGGUGGCGGCAUACCCUUGUCAAGGCAAAGAGCUGCAUUCACUAUUGACGGGUGAUUAUUGCCUUCGGCUGACUCUCGAGGAUCCUACGGCGAGGAUCCAUGCAUACGUCCACAAGGACAAUGCGGUGAGCUUUUUCGGCGGUUUCCUCACACUGGCCGCGCUGACCAGAAAGAUGAACAGGCUGCUGGGCGUCCCAGAGCCAGAAGAUGAUGCCGAGGAAGGCAUGGCCGGCGGCAGGAACCCUCCCUGGAUAUGGUGCUGCCUGAAGUCGUACCGCCUGGACAAGUACGACCCCUGGGGCAGCAGGCGGUAUCGGAUCUUCGGCACAGAGAUCAGGGACUGA